GAACGGCAGCACACGGUAGCCAGUGACCGGGNUGAGCGACGUGAGCGGACGGUGUGACUGAAUACAUCGUGGACCUGCCCAGACGUGGGGGAUAACGUAUGGAAACUUACGCUAAUACCGCAUACGUCCUACGGGAGAAAGCGGGGGAUCGCAAGACCUCGCGCGGUUGGAUGGACCGAUGUUCGAUUAGCUAGUUGGUAGGGUAAUGGCCUACCAAGGCGACGAUCGAUAGCUGGUCUGAGAGGAUGAUCAGCCUCACUGGGACUGAGACACGGUCCAUACUCCUACGGGAGGCAUCAGUGGGGAAUAUUGGACAAUGGGCGCAAGCCUGAUCCAUCAAUGCCGCGUGUGUGAAGAAUGCCUUCGGGUUGUAAAGCACUUUUAUCAUGAGCGAAAUACUACCGGCUAAUAUCCGGUGAGGCUGACGGUACCUGAGGAAUAAUCACCGGCUAACUUCGUGCCAGCAGCCGCGGUAAU
rnacentral:rRNA from 1 species